GUUGAACGCUGGCGGCAUGCCUUACACAUGCAAGUCGAACGGCAGCACGGGUGCUUGCACCUGGUGGCGAGUGGCGAACGGGUGAGUAAUACAUCGGAACAUGUCCUGUAGUGGGGGAUAGCCCGGCGAAAGCCGGAUUAAUACCGCAUACGAUCUACGGAUGAAAGCGGGGGACCUUCGGGCCUCGCGCUAUAGGGUUGGCCGAUGGCUGAUUAGCUAGUUGGUGGGGUAAAGGCCUACCAAGGCGACGAUCAGUAGCUGGUCUGAGAGGACGACCAGCCACACUGGGACUGAGACACGGCCCAGACUCCUACGGGAGGCAGCAGUGGGGAAUUUUGGACAAUGGGCGAAAGCCUGAUCCAGCAAUGCCGCGUGUGUGAAGAAGGCCUUCGGGUUGUAAAGCACUUUUGUCCGGAAAGAAAUCCUUGGCCCUAAUACGGUCGGGGGAUGACGGUACCGGAAGAAUAAGCACCGGCUAACUACGUGC
rnacentral:rRNA from 1 species